UCUCCGUAGGUGAACCUGCGGAAGGAUCAUUAAUGAGUUGUCAUGGGGUUCGAUGCUGGCAGCCAGUUUUUGGAUGCAUGUGCUUGCCCUAACAAUCAUCUUCUUCCAACACCUGUGCACAUUUUUGAGGGAGUCUUGAGUUGGUUGCCGCUCUUGGGUGAUUUUCUCACAUUCCCUUAAAUCAUUAUACGCUAUUAACAAUGUUGAACGUGCUCUGUGCCGCAAGGCCAUUAAUAUAAUACAACUUUUAACAACGGAUCUCUUGGCUCUC
rnacentral:misc_RNA from 1 species